AUAGAGGAAUAAUCAACCAGAAGUCUGUGUUCCAGACCACACUCUGACAGGUAUUUAGAGCACUAGGUCAAAUGGUUCCCAAGUCUCAUCAGAAUAGCACAGAUUAACCAGAUCUUGUUUUUAAAGACAUCAUCCUUCAACAUCUGACAUUUUAAUUACACAGCCAUCAAUUACAGGUCAUAUCCAAAUUACCUGUGAAAACAUAUCUGAUUCCCUAAACACAAGUAUUGUGUGGAUGUAAAUGAACAGAUUUUUAAUUGAUAUUUGGAUAGGACUGGUGAAUAUGCCGUCGGUUAAAGCUAUAUCCUAUCUGAAUAUGAAUAUGGUACAUAUAAGACUUACCCCAGUAUAAAGGUCAGUUUGCCAGCUAGCACAUUCAGGAUUAAAACAGACUUGAAUAAUUUUUUUAUCUUUGAUAUGACAUUCAUUCUCAGGUAGAUCUUUACCAGCUUCAUCAACACAUUUGGCUUGACGAUAUUGUUUACCUACACCACAACUAACAGAACACUGAAAUAGAUGAAUGAUCAUUUAGCUUGUUCAUUUACUAACCUGCAUAAAGUCUAGCAUAGGCCAGAGCUUGUGACUGGGUACAACUACGGUAGUUACAAGAAAUUUGAACGGAGGCAACUCACGGCAACCAGUAGUUGCUAGAAACAGGAGACCAUAAAGUAUAUGACCAAGAUGUUGGUAAACAUUCACCAUGACAUUCAACAUAAGCAUUGGGUUUGGCACCAAGGUGACGACAAUGUCGAUCAUCAAUAUCUGUAACUUCA